rnacentral:rRNA from 1 species
CCUACGGGAGGCAGCAGUGGGGAAUAUUGCACAAUGGGGGGAACCCUGAUGCAGCGACGCCGCGUGAGUGAAGAAGUAUUUCGGUAUGUAAAGCUCUAUCAGCAGGGAAGAAAAUGACGGUACCUGACUAAGAAGCCCCGGCUAACUACGUGCCAGCAGCGGCGGUAAUACGUAGGGGGCAAGCGUUAUCCGGAUUUACUGGGUGUAAAUGGGGAGUAGACGGCGGAGCAAGUCAGAAGUGAAAGCCGUCGGCCCAACUGCGGGACUGCUUUGGAAACUGCCCGGCUAGAGUGCUGGAGAGGUAAGCGGAAUUCCUGGUGUAGCGGUGAAAUGCGUAGAUAUUAGGAGGAACACCAGUGGCGAAGGCAGCUUACUAGACAGUAACUGACGUUGAGGCUCGAAAGCGUGGGGAGCAAACAGGAUUAGAUACCCGAGUAGUC